ensembl:snoRNA SNORD81 Small nucleolar RNA SNORD81
CAUACAUGACGAUCUCGCCUCAAAUUAGACCUGCUCACUGAUUGCAAAUGAUGGGAAAAGAUCUGAUAUUCUG